GACGAACGCUGGCGGCGCGCCUAACACAUGCAAGUCGAACGGAGUCAAGAGGAGCUUGCUUUUCUUGACUUAGUGGCGAACGGGUGAGUAACGCGUGAGUAACCUGCCCUGGAGUGGGGGACAACAGUUGGAAACGACUGCUAAUACCGCAUAAGCCCACGGAUCUGCAUGGAUCUGCGGGAAAAGGAUUUAUUCGCUCUAGGAUGGACUCGCGUCCAAUUAGCUAGUUGGUGAGGUAACGGCCCACCAAGGCGACGAUUGGUAGCCGGACUGAGAGGUUGAACGGCCACAUUGGGACUGAGACACGGCCCAGACUCCUACGGGAGGCAGCAGUGGGGGAUAUUGCACAAUGGGGGAAAUCCUGAUGCAGCGGCGCCGCGUGGAAGAAGAAGGUUUUCGGAUUGUAAACUCCUGUCGUUAGGGACGAUAAUGACGGUACCUAACAAGAAAGCACCAGCUAACUACGUG
rnacentral:rRNA from 1 species